rnacentral:rRNA from 1 species
UUAAGCGACUAAGCGUACACGGUGGAUGCCCUGGCAGUCAGAGGCGAUGAAGGACGUGCUAAUCUGCGAAAAGCGCCGGCGAGGUGAUAUGAACCUUUGACCCGGCGAUGUCCGAAUGGGGAAACCCAGUGCAAUUCGUUGCACUAUCGUUAACUGAAUACAUAGGUUAACGAGGCGAACCGGGGGAACUGAAACAUCUAAGUACCCCGAGGAAAAGAAAUCAACCGAGAUUCCCCCAGUAGCGGCGAGCGAACGGGGAGCAGCCCGGAGUCUGAAUCAGCUUGUGUGUUAGUGGAACGGUCUGGAAAGUCCGACGGUACAGGGUGAUAGUCCCGUACACGAAAGCACACAUGCUGUGAACUCGAAGAGUAGGGCGGGACACGUGGUAUCCUGUCUGAAUAUGGGGGGACCAUCCUCCAAGGCUAAAUACUCCUGACUGACCGAUAGUGAACCAGUACCGUGAGGGAAAGGCGAAAAGAACCCCGGCGAGGGGAGUGAAAAAGAACCUGAAACCGUGUACGUACAAGCAGUGGGAGCCUCUUUAUGGGGUGACUGCGUACCUUUUGUAUAAUGGGUCAGCGACUUAUAUUCUGUAGCAAGGUUAACCGUAUAGGGGAGCCGAAGGGAAACCGAGUCUUAACUGGGCGUUAAGUUGCAGGGUAUAGACCCGAAACCCGGUGAUCUAGCCAUGGGCAGGUUGAAGGUUGGGUAACACUAACUGGAGGACCGAACCGACUAAUGUUGAAAAAUUAGCGGAUGACCUGUGGCUGGGGGUGAAAGGCCAAUCAAACCGGGAGAUAGCUGGUUCUCCCCGAAAGCUAUUUAGGUAGCGCCUCGUGAACUCAUCUUCGGGGGUAGAGCACUGUUUCGGCUAGGGGGCCAUCCCGGCUUACCAACCCGAUGCAAACUACGAAUACCGAAGAAUGUUAUCACGGGAGACACACGGCGGGUGCUAACGUCCGUCGUGAAGAGGGAAACAACCCAGACCGCCAGCUAAGGUCCCAAAGUCAUGGUUAAGUGGGAAACGAUGUGGGAAGGCACAGACAGCCAGGAUGUUGGCUUAGAAGCAGCCAUCAUUUAAAGAAAGCGUAAUAGCUCACUGGUCGAGUCGGCCUGCGCGGAAGAUGUAACGGGGCUAAACCAUGCACCGAAGCUGCGGCAGCGACACUAUGUGUUGUUGGGUAGGGGAGCGUUCUGUAAGCCGUUGAAGGUGUGCUGUGAGGCAUGCUGGAGGUAUCAGAAGUGCGAAUGCUGACAUAAGUAACGAUAAAGCGGGUGAAAAGCCCGCUCGCCGGAAGACCAAGGGUUCCUGUCCAACGUUAAUCGGGGCAGGGUGAGUCGACCCCUAAGGCGAGGCCGAAAGGCGUAGUCGAUGGGAAACAGGUUAAUAUUCCUGUACUUGGUGUUACUGCGAAGGGGGGACGGAGAAGGCUAUGUCAGCCGGGCGACGGUUGUCCCGGUUUAAGCAUGUAGGCGGAGGUUCCAGGUAAAUCCGGUACCUUUUAACGCUGAGGUGUGAUGACGAGGCACUACGGUGCUGAAGUGAUAAAUGCCCUGCUUCCAGGAAAAGCCUCUAAGCAUCAGGUAACACGAAAUCGUACCCCAAACCGACACAGGUGGUCAGGUAGAGAAUACCAAGGCGCUUGAGAGAACUCGGGUGAAGGAACUAGGCAAAAUGGUGCCGUAACUUCGGGAGAAGGCACGCUGAUAUGUAGGUGAAGCCCCUGCGGGCGGAGCUGAAAUCAGUCGAAGAUACCAGCUGGCUGCAACUGUUUAUUAAAAACACAGCACUGUGCAAACACGAAAGUGGACGUAUACGGUGUGACGCCUGCCCGGUGCCGGAAGGUUAAUUGAUGGGGUUAGCGGCAACGCGAAGCUCUUGAUCGAAGCCCCGGUAAACGGCGGCCGUAACUAUAACGGUCCUAAGGUAGCGAAAUUCCUUGUCGGGUAAGUUCCGACCUGCACGAAUGGCGUAAUGAUGGCCAGGCUGUCUCCACCCGAGACUCAGUGAAAUUGAACUCGCUGUGAAGAUGCAGUGUACCCGCGGCAAGACGGAAAGACCCCGUGAACCUUUACUAUAGCUUGACACUGAACACUGGUCCUUGAUGUGUAGGAUAGGUGGGAGGCUUUGAAGCGUGGACGCCAGUCUGCGUGGAGCCAACCUUGAAAUACCACCCUUUAAUGGCUGGUGUUCUAACGUAGACCCGUAAUCCGGGUUGCGGACAGUGUCUGGUGGGUAGUUUGACUGGGGCGGUCUCCUCCCAAAGAGUAACGGAGGAGCACGAAGGUUGGCUAAUCCUGGUCGGACAUCAGGAGGUUAGUGCAAUGGCAUAAGCCAGCUUGACUGCGAGCGUGACGGCGCGAGCAGGUGCGAAAGCAGGUCAUAGUGAUCCGGUGGUUCUGAAUGGAAGGGCCAUCGCUCAACGGAUAAAAGGUACUCCGGGGAUAACAGGCUGAUACCGCCCAAGAGUUCAUAUCGACGGCGGUGUUUGGCACCUCGAUGUCGGCUCAUCACAUCCUGGGGCUGAAGUAGGUCCCAAGGGUAUGGCUGUUCGCCAUUUAAAGUGGUACGCGAGCUGGGUUUAGAACGUCGUGAGACAGUUCGGUCCCUAUCUGCCGUGGGCGCUGGAGAAUUGAGGGGGGCUGCUCCUAGUACGAGAGGACCGGAGUGGACGCAUCACUGGUGUUCGGGUUGUCAUGCCAAUGGCACUGCCCGGUAGCUAAAUGCGGAAGAGAUAAGUGCUGAAAGCAUCUAAGCACGAAACUUGCCCCGAGAUGAGUUCUCCCUGAGACCUUGAGUCUCCUGAAGGAACGUUAAAGACUAUGACGUUGAUAGGUCGGGUGUGUAAGCGCAGCGAUGCGUUGAGCUAACCGAUACUAAUGAACCGUGAGGCUUAACCUU